rnacentral:rRNA from 2 species
AAAUUGAAGAGUUUGAUCAUGGCUCAGAUUGAACGCUGGCGGCAGGCCUAACACAUGCAAGUCGAACGGUAACAGGAAACAGCUUGCUGUUUCGCUGACGAGUGGCGGACGGGUGAGUAAUGUCUGGGAAACUGCCUGAUGGAGGGGGAUAACUACUGGAAACGGUAGCUAAUACCGCAUAACGUCGCAAGAC